rnacentral:lncRNA from 1 species
AUGUAUCAUUCAGACUCCGCCCACCCUCCUCCUCAUGCUUCCUCUCCUCCGGCUUCUUCAUCAUCAGCCUCUCGUCUCCUCCCUCCUACUCCCUUUCCUCUCCUCCUCUCCUCUAAAACUCUCUUCUAUUUUCCUUCCCGUCGUCUCCGCGAGUCGCGUCCUCCUCUCCUUGACUCCUCUCCUCUCUCGUCCCAUCCUCCCCUCCUCUCCUCUCUCAUCUCCUCCUCUCCUCCUCUCCUCUCUUGUCCCCUCCUCGCCUCCUCACUUCUCUUGUCCCCUCCUCUCCUCUCUCAUCCCCUCCUCUCCUCCUCUCAUCCUCUCUUCUCUCUUCCCCUGGCCUCCUCCCCUCCUCCCCUCCUCCCCUUCUCUCCUCCUCUCCUCCUCUCCUCCUCCCCUCGUCCCCUCUUCUCCUCUCUCAUCCCCUCCUCUCCUCCUCUCAUCCUCUCUUCUCUCUUCCCCUGGCCUCCUCCCCUCCUCCCCUUCUCUCCUCCUCUCCUCCUCUCCUCCUCCCCUCGUCCCCUCCUCUCUUCUCUCGUCCCCUGGCCUCCUCCCCUUCUUGCCUCCUCUCCUCCUCUCCUCCUCCUCCUUCUCUCCUCCUCUCCUCCUCCCCUCCUCUCCUCCUCUCUUCUCUCGUCCCCUGGCCUCCUCCCCUCCUCUCCUCCUCUCCUCCUCUCCUCCUCUCUUCUCUCGUCCCCUGGCCUCCUCCCCUUCUUGCCUCCUCUCCUUCUCUCCUCCUCCUCCUCCUCCCCUCCUCCUCCUCCUCCUCCUCCUCCUCCUCUCUCUCGUCCCUGGCCUCCUCCCCUCCUCUCCUCCUCUCCUCCUCUCUUCUCUCGUCCCCUGGCCUCCUCCCCUUCUUGCCUCCUCUCCUCCUCUCUUCUCUCCUCCUCUCCUCCUCCCCUUCUUGCCUCCUCUCCUCCUCUCCUUCUCUCCUCCUCCUCUCCUCCUCCUCCUCUCCUCCUCCUCCUCCUCCUCCUCUCUUCUCUCGUCCCCUGGCCUCCUCCCCUCCUCUCCUCCUCUCCUCCUCCUCCUCCUCCUCCUCCUCCUCUCUCUCUCGUCCCCUGGCCUCCUCCCCUUCUUGCCUCCUCUCCUCCUCUCCUCUCCUCCUCCUCCUCCUCCUCCUCCUCCUCCUCCUCCUCCUCCUCCUCCUCCUCCUCUCUUCUCUCGUCCCCUGGCCUCCUCCCCUCCUCUCCUCCUCUCCUCCUCUCCUCCUCUCUUCUCUCGUCCCCUGGCCUCCUCCCCUCCUCCUCCUCCUCUCCUCUCCUCCUCCUCUUCUCUCGUCCCCUGGCCUCCUCCCCUUCUGCCUCCUCCUCCUCCUCUCCUCCUCUCCUCCUCUCCUCCUCCUCCUCUCCUCCUCCUCCUCCUCUCCUCCUCCUCCUCCUCCUCCUCCUCCUCCUCUCCUCCUCUCUUCUCUCGUCCCCUGGCCUCCUCCCCUCCUCUCCUCCCUCUCCUCCUCUCUCUCUCCCCUCCCCUCCUCCUCCCCUUCUUGCCUCCUCUCCUCCUCUCCUCCUCUCCUCCUCCUCCUCCUCCUCCUCCUCCUCCUCCUCUCCUCCUCUCCUCCUCUCUUCUCUCGUCCCCUGGCCUCCUCCCCUCCUCCUCUCUCUCUCUCCCCUGGCCUCCUCCUCCUCUCCUCCUCUCCUCCUCCUCCUCCUCCUCCUCCCCUCCUCUCUUCUCUCGUCCCCUGGCCUCCUCCCCUCCUCUCCUCCUCUCCUCCUCCUCCUCUUCUCUCGUCCCCUGGCCUCCUCCCCUUCUUGCCUCCUCUCCUCCUCUCCUUCUCUCCUCCUCUCCUCCUCCCCUCCUCUCCUCCUCUCCUCCUCCCCUCCUCUCUUCUCUCGUCCCCUGGCCUCCUCCCCUCCUCUCCUCCUCUCCUCCUCUCCUCCUCUCUUCUCUCGUCCCCUGGCCUCCUCCCCUCCUUGCCUCCUCUCCUCCUCCAGGCUUUCUGCACUUGUCCAUGCCUGUCAACCGAAAGCAGAGCAGCAUUCUUCAACGCACACAUUCCUGAUCCUGCUCGGCAAGUUAUUUUUACCAUCAGAGUGUGUUGCGGGCCGCUCGACGCCGCCGGCCUCCUCCCUCAGUUGGAAGCAUCUUUUCAUCCGCAAACUGCUCUCAGGUUUUGCUUGGUCACUCCUUCCCUCCCGUGACUUCCCAGUUACACUGUAA